rnacentral:rRNA from 1 species
CAGCGUAACGGGUAGCAAUACCUGUUGACGGCGACCGGCGCACGGGUGCGUAACGCGUAUGUAACCUACCGUUCACAGGGGGAUAGUCAGAGGAAACUUUGAAUAAUACCGCAUAAAACAGCGGUCCGGCAUCGGAAUAUUUGUUAAAGGUGGCGACACGGUGAACGAUGGGCAUGCGUUCGAUUAGAUAGUUGGUGAGGUAACGGCUCACCAAGUCUACGAUCGAUAGGGGGUCUGAGAGGAUUAUCCCCACACUGGUACUGAGAUACGGACCAGACUCC